AACGCACGAGACCUGCGGACCUGCGGAGGGAUCAUUAGUGAACGCCCUCACGGGCUUAUAACUAUUCCAAACCUCUGCGAACCGUGCCCUUCGGGGCUAUUUUACAAACAUGGUGUAAUGAACGUCAUAUAUCAUAACAAAACAAAACUUUUAGCAACGGAUCUCU
rnacentral:misc_RNA from 1 species